rnacentral:rRNA from 1 species
GACGUAGGGCGCGAGCGUUGUCCGGAUUUAUUGGGCGUAAAGAGCUCGUAGGCGGCUUGUCGCGUCGAAUGUGAAAACCCACAGCUCAACUGUGGGCUUGCAUUCGAUACGGGCAGGCGUCGAGUUCGGUAGGGGAGACUGGAAUCCUGGUGUAGCGGUGAAAUGCGCAGAUAGUCAGGAGGAACACCGGUGGCGGAAGGCGGGUCUCUGGGCCG